rnacentral:rRNA from 1 species
UACGUAGGGGGCAAGCGUUGUCCGGAAUCAUUGGGCGUAAAGCGCGCGUAGGCGGCCCUGUAAGUCCGUUGUGAAAGUCAAAGGCUCAACCUUUGAAAGCCGAUGGAUACUGCAGGGCUAGAGUCCGGAAGAGGCGAGUGGAAUUCCUGGUGUAGCGGUGGAAUGCGCAGAUAUCAGGAGGAACACCAAUGGCGAAGGCAGGUCACUGGGCCGCAACUGACGCUGAGGAGCGAAAGCAUGGGGAGCGAACAGG